CAAGUGUUUAACAUUGAUUAAAAGAAACUCAUAAAUAAACAUGAAGGUUUUACUCGUUGCAAUCUUGGUUGCCCUCGUCUGCAUGACAAAGGCUUCACCUAUUGAAAAUCCGGAUGUAGAGAAACCAGAACUGGCAGCAGAUGCUAUGGAACCAAUGGAGAUGUUGAACGGCGCUCGUCAACGGAUCUGCACGGCCGCGUUGUGUCAAUCUGUGUGCAGGAGUCUGGGAUGGCGCACGGGCAGCUGCAACGCGCAGCUAUUGUGCAUCUGCAGACGUUAAAUCAUUAAUUUAGAUUUUAAAUUAUAAGUUUUAUGUUAAUUCUUUAUAUAAUAAAUUUUUAAGCCUAUUA